AACGAACGCUGGCGGCAGGCCUAACACAUGCAAGUCGAGCGCCCAGCAAUGGGAGCGGCGGACGGGUGAGUAACGCGUGGGAAUUUUUCCUGGAGUACGGAACAACCGAGGGAAACUUCGGCUAAUACCGUAUGAUGCCGAGAGGCCAAAGAUUUAUCGCUCUGGGGUGAGCCCGCGUCAGAUUAGGUAGUUGGUGGGGUAAAGGCCUACCAAGCCUGCGAUCUGUAGCUGGUCUGAGAGGACGAUCAGCCACACUGGGACUGAGACACGGCCCAGACUCCUACGGGAGGCAGCAGUGGGGAAUCUUGCGCAAUGGGCGAAAGCCUGACGCAGCCAUGCCGCGUGAGUGAAGAAGGUCUUAGGAUUGUAAAGCUCUUUCGCUCGUGACGAUGAUGACGGUAACGAGAGAAGAAGCCCCGGCCAACUACGUGCCAGCAGCCGCUGUAAC
rnacentral:rRNA from 1 species